rnacentral:rRNA from 1 species
CACGUGGGUAAUCUACCCUCGAGUGGGGAAUAAGCUUCCGAAAGGAGGUCUAAUGCCGCAUAACGUUUCAUAACGAUGGUUAUGAAACCAAAGCCCAAAAGGCGCUUGAGGAGGAGCCUGCGUCCGAUUAGCUAGUUGGUGGGGUAAGGGCCUACCAAGGCGACGAUCGGCAGCUGGUCUGAGAGGAUGAUCAGCCACACUGGAACUGAGACACGGUCCAGACUUCUACGGGAGGCAGCAGUGGGGAAUAUUGGACAAUGGGGGCAACCCUGAUCCAGCAAUGCCGCGUGUGUGAAGAAGGCCUGAGGGUUGUAAAGCACUUUCAGUGGGGAGGAGGGUUUAUUGGUUAAGAGCUGAUGAACUGGACGUUACCCACAGAAGAAGCACCGGCUAACUCCGUG